rnacentral:misc_RNA from 1 species
AAGUCGUAACAAGGUUUCCGUAGGUGAACCUGCGGAAGGAUCAUUAAAGAAUUUAAAGAGUGCACUUCAUUGUGACUCGACAUUUUCUACAAUUCACCCUAGUGCACUGUAAUACCUUUUUUAAUUAAACUCUACAAAGUUAUUGAAUGUAACACUUUUUUAUAAAGAAAUAAAACUUUUAACAACGGAUCUCUUGGCUCUC